UUCGCAAUGCCCGAAAGGGUGACGAAGCGACGCCGCGUGCGGGAAGAAGGCCUUCGGGUUGUAAACCGCUGUCGGGAGUUAGGAAAUGCAAGGAUGUUAAUAGCGUCCUUGCUUGACUAAGGCUCCGGAGGAAGCCACGGCUAACUCUGUACCAGCAGCCGCGGUAAUACAGAGGCGGCAAGCGUUGUUCGGAAUUAUUGGGCGUAAAGGGCACGUAAGGCGGCUGUGUAAGUCGGUUGUGAAAGCCUUCCGCUUAACGGAAGAACGGCAUCCGAUACUGCAUAGCUUGAGUGCGGGAGGGGAGAGUGGAACUUCUGGUGGAGCGGUGAAAUGCGUAGAUAUCAGAAGGAACACCGGCGGCGAAGGCGACUCUCUGGUCCGUAACUGACGCUGAGUGUGCGAAAGCUAGGGGAGCAAACGGGAUUAGAUACCCCGGUAGUCCUAGCCGUAAACGAUGGGCACUAAGUAGAGGGGUUUU
rnacentral:rRNA from 1 species